GGUCUGGUGGUCUAGUGGUAUGAUUCGCGCUUAGGGAACACCCUGAAGCUUCACUGCGCGAGGGUAAGUCAAUUCAGAUCCACUUGCAAAAUUUGCAGCGUAACUAACAGUCACCAGUCCCGGGUUCAAUCCCCGGCCAGACCC